rnacentral:rRNA from 1 species
UACGAAGGGGGCUAGCGUUGCUCGGAAUUACUGGGCGUAAAGGGCGCGUAGGCGGAUGUCUAAGUCAGGGGUUAAAUCCCAGGGCUCAACCCUGGAACUGCCUUUGAUACUGGACGUCUAGAGUGUGGGAGAGGUGAGUGGAACUCCGAGUGUAGAGGUGAAAUUCGUAGAUAUUCGGAAGAACACCAGUGGCGAAGGCGACUCACUGGCCCAUUACUGACGCUGAUGCGCGAAAGCGUGGGGAG